GGCUGGAAAAGCUCAGUCGGGAGAGCAUGAAACUCAUUAAUCUCAGGGUUGUGGGUUCAAGCCCCACGUUGGGGGUUGGGCUA